UACGUAGGCAGCAAGCGUUGUUCGGAGUUACUGGGCGUAAAGGGUGUGUAGGCGGUUGCUUAAGUUUGGUGUGAAAUCUCCCGGCUCAACUGGGAGGGUGCGCCGAAUACUGAGUGACUCGAGUGCGGGAGAGGAAAGUGGAAUUCCAGGUGUAGCGGUGAAAUGCGUAGAUAUCAGGAGGAACACCGGUGGUGUAGACGGCUCUCUGGACCGUAACUGACGCUGAGGCAUGAAAGCGUGGGUAGCAAACAGG
rnacentral:rRNA from 1 species